UGGGGAAUAUUGGACAAUGGGCGACAGCCUGAUCCAGCCAUGCCGCGUGUGUGAAGAAGGUCUUCGGAUUGUAAAGCACUUUAAGCUGGGAGGAAGGGCAGUAAAUUAAUACUUUGCUGUUUUGACGUUACCGACAGAAUAAGCACCGGCUAACUCUGUGCCAGCAGCCGCGGUAAUACAGAGGGUGCAAGCGUUAAUCGGAAUUACUGGGCGUAAAGCGCGCGUAGGUGGUUCGUUAAGUUGGAUGUGAAAUCCCCGGGCUCAACCUGGGAACUGCAUUCAAAACUGACGAGCUAGAGUAUGGUAGAGGGUGGUGGAAUUUCCUGUGUAGCGGUGAAAUGCGUAGAUAUAGGAAGGAACACCAGUGGCGAAGGAGACCACCUGGACUGAUACUGACACUGAGGUGCGAAAGCGUGGGGAGCAAACA
rnacentral:rRNA from 1 species